AUAAUAGCAACAACAAUGAUUUUGAAACACAUAAACAAGAGCCUUAUGGGCAAUCGAAGAUGGAAGAUGAAGUUCCAGAUUCUCAAGCAGCAAAGACUAACCACAAUAGUAAAAGUUCAGUUUAGAAUUUCCCGAAGGUAUCAUUAAACUUUGAUAGAUUAAUCACAAUAAGAAGGCAAAUGCAUCAGAGGCUCCAAAUGGGAAUGAACAGAUGGGUGCUAAUCUGACUAGGCCAACAUCAAAUCAAUUACAGAGUGCAAUAUCUAUGUAUCCACAUGGUGUUGGGAUUAGAAUAUCUACCAUAUCUAUGAAUAGAAAAAACAAUCUAGGUACUUCCAAACCAUCUUUUCGGCUGAUGUUCAGGCAAAGUUGGCAAUUGGGAAUUCAGGUAAAAUCCAGUUUCAAUCGAACAUGGUAUGCAUCUUGGAAAAAUGAUUGUCUUUUUCAUUGCUGUUGAUUAUUUUGUGAAUCUUUCUCAAUAUUAUAAAUUUACCGUUAUUGGGAAGUUUUAUUGGGGAAAACCAACGAUGGAUGACAUAAGGAGAGAGUUAGUUAGUCAAUUUCAGCUUAGGGGAACUGUUAUAAUUUCAUAUUUUGAUUAUUAGCAUGUAUAUCUAGAUUAUGAUAAUGAAGUUGAUUUUACUUAUGUGGGAACUUGAUCAUUUGUGAAUAUUGGAAUAGCCCCAAUGAAAAUCAUGAAAUAGACCCUAGAUUUUAGGCCAGAAGUGGAAACAUCUAUUGUUCCAGUUUGAAUAUUAAUACAUCAGUUGCCAUGGCAUCUAUUCAGGUGGCACGUUGUUUCUAGAAUGGUAAUUGGAAUUCGGACUUUUGUAGCUCCUGAUAUGGCCACAUAUUCCAAGUCUAGAGGAAAUACAGCUAAGAUGAAAGUUGAAAUUGACUUGCUAAAACCAAAGUUAGAUGAGUUAUGGCUUGGGUUCAACACUUUAGAUGGCAAGGAAGUUGGGGUAUGGCUGAAUAUUGAAUAUUGGGGUGACCUUAUCUAUUGUCAAUAUUGUUUCAUGCAGGGCCAUUUGGAAAGUCAUUGUAGAAAUAAAAUAAGGUAUGAGAGGAACAAAGCUCAAGUGGAAGAAAAGCAGGUCACUGCCAAUGUCACAGAG
rnacentral:lncRNA from 1 species